UCAAGUUCGCCAAAGUGAUCGGUAGUUCGGAGUUAAACCGAGUCUCGGCAAAACCCUUCUGUCAGACGAAUAACCUCUAACGUGCUCCAUUGCUGUUAAAACACGUGAAGAAGCAAAAAGCAAUGGAAACAUUUAAAAAUCAUCUUUCAAUUAUCUGCUGUAUUUCACACACUUUCCAUGCGCGAAGAAGCCAAAAUACGCAUAUUAGACAUCGUUGGAAACACCAGGAAUCUAUAGAUAAAGGCCAUUUGGGUAGCACCCUUUGUUCCCGUCCCUAACGUUUACAGCAGAAAUUCUUCGAUUUCCUUGAAUGAGUUAUGAACGUUGGAAACGGUUGUAAAGUGUGCUGCACAAACGGUCUUUUCCCUUGUGGAAUCGUGGAACAAUGUUAAAUGGCUGCCAGAUCGAAUGGACAUCCUGUUCAUUUUGGUAUUUAUUUCUAUAGGCAAAUCCGAGUACGGAUUCGUACUGCUUGUUAUAAUUUCUAAAGUUUUACUUGUAUAAUAUGUAUAACAACAACAAAAACGA